GGGAAUAUUGGACAAUGGGCGAAAGCCUGAUCCAGCAAUGCCGCGUGUGUGAAGAAGGUCUUCGGAUUGUAAAGCACUUUCGGCGGGGACGAUGAUGACGGUACCCGCAGAAGAAGCCCCGGCUAACUUCGUGCCAGCAGCCGCGGUAAUACGAAGGGGGCUAGCGUUGCUCGGAAUGACUGGGCGUAAAGGGCGCGUAGGCGGUUCGGAAAGUUAGAUGUGAAAUUCCUGGGCUUAACCUGGGGGCUGCAUUUGAUACUUCCGGGCUUGAGUAUGGAAGAGGGUCGUGGAAUUCCCAGUGUAGAGGUGAAAUUCGUAGAUAUUGGGAAGAACACCGGUGGCGAAGGCGGCGACCUGGUCCAUAACUGACACUGAGGGACGAAAGCUAGGGGAGCGAAAG
rnacentral:rRNA from 1 species